rnacentral:lncRNA from 1 species
AUGGUGGUGGAGCCGAACCCGUGUAUUAGUUCGGAGCUGCUAAUCCUGAGGGCCUCGGCCAGAAAACUGGGGCUUCUCGUCAGGAACGUAGAGGUUUCAUGUUCCCAGCUGUUAGGAGUCUGGCAAAAGAUGAACCGCAAGGCAUGGCUGCCAUGGUUGUUUGAAACAAGAAACAGACACCCUUUUUGUUUCAUUCAUUUCACUGGUCACUGGCAAGCUGAGCCUAAAUGAAGGCAGAAGACAACUCCUACAGAGAACUUGGAGUGGUUUGUCCCUUAAGAAGGGAGUAAUGAGAUUUUUAAUGUUUUUACCAAAUACCAGAACACAUGAUAAAAGUUUAUGGAUUGUGAAUUAAUUGAAAGAUUGUGGGACAGGAAAGAAUGCUUAUUACAGGAAGCCCUGGAGACCUACAACAUAAGUACCCUGAAAUUUGUGACCAAGCCCACAGAACAUCUCUUGAGUUAUUUGAACCACCUAAGGUGACUGUUAUUCUUGAUACAAUUUACCAGUCCAGGCCAGCUUCCCCAGAUAGACUGGGAUAAGAUGCGUCUUUUAUUCAUUUAGCCCAGGGAGAGACUGCAAAAUAUAUUCUUGAUAGUCAAACAUUUAGUUUAUGAAAUUAGCAACAGCAGCUCAGAUAAAAAAAACAAAACACUGGCAGUGUGAAUUUGUAUUUGGGAGAUGGUACAUGUUUUAGAAUAUACAGUUCAAAAGAUAAUGUGCUUGUGUCUAAAAUCUGUUAUCUGCAACAUAAAGGUUUACAGUUUUCUACAUGUUUAAUAACACAUCUGUAUGAUGAAACAUGGCAUGUAUAAUUGAAAUAAUAACUAUAAGAAUAGCCAUAUGUAAAUACUAUGUAAAUAAAGUUUCAUUUCUAGAGGUUAUAGACA